rnacentral:rRNA from 1 species
CCUACGGUGCGCAGCAGUGGGGAAUAUUGCGCAAUGGGCGAAAGCCUGACGCAGCGACGCCGCGUGAGGGAUGAAGGUCUUCGGAUCGUAAACCUCUGUCAGCAGGGAAGAACGGUCACUGUGCUAAUCAGCAGUGAAUUGACGGUACCUGCAAAGGAAGCACCGGCUAAAUCCGUGCCAGCAGCCGCGGUAAUACGGAGGGUGCGAGCGUUAAUCGGAAUUACUGGGCGUAAAGCGCUCGUAGGCGGUAUGUCAAGUCAAGGGUGAAAUCCCCGCGCUCAACGUGGGAACUGCCUUUGAAACGGGCAAACUGGAGUGUGUGAGAGGCUAGUGGAAUUCCAGGUGUAGGGGUGAAAUCCGUAGAUAUCUGGAGGAACAUCAGUGGCGAAGGCGACUAUCUGGCACAUAACUGACGCUGAGGAGCGAAAGCGUGGGUAGCAAACAGGAUUAGAUACCCGAGUAGUC